rnacentral:lncRNA from 11 species
AUGGCGAAGGCGGCCAUUCAAGUGGCGGCGGGAGGCAGAGGAAGCCAAUCAAGCCACGAGGACAUCCUUCUUCCCUGGAGGCCUCAACCAUCUUCGGACUGCUUCCGGUUCCAAAUUUACAUUGCCUUUGAAAAACCACUGCCCCUUUCCUCCUGUAACAAUGAAGCAGUUUCUAUUGUGUUUCAUAACUUAAAUACCAGGAAGAAUCACUUUAUCUGCUCAAGUACGUACAUUAUGUCUCCUAUUUCUAAGAAUAGUUGUGGAAACUGGACAUUAGAGAGAAUUUAUGAAAUCAAUUCAUUUCAAAUGUGCUGGAGAAGAUCUGCAGAUGCCACGGACUGCUAAAAUGACAAGUAAACGUGUCCUGGUGCAAAUAAAGCCUGAGCUCUCCCUAGAAACCAAGACGAUUAAACACAAGCCACAUCUACACUGAGCAUUUAAUGCAGUUCGAAGCUAGUGUCAAAGAAGCUCCUUUUCACAAAGUCUUUUUACUCUUGUGUAGGAAGGAAUCCGAAUAAAUCACGAAGUGAAAUAAACAUAUUAAAUCAGCAUGGUGG